AUGGUUGUAACGGGUAACGGGGAAUCAGGGUUCGAUUCCGGAGAGGGAGCAUGAGAAAUGGCUACCACAUCUACGGAAGGCAGCAGGCGCGCAAAUUACCCACUCCUAGAUCGGGGAGGUAGUGACAAAAAAUAACAAUACCGGACUCUAUGAGGCUCGGUAAUUGAAAUGAGUACAGUUUAAAAGCCUUAACGAGGAUCUAUUGGAGGGCAAGUCUGGUGCCAGCAGCCGCGGUAAUUCCAGCUCCAAUAGCGUAUAUUAAAGUUGUUGCAGUUAAAAAGCUCGUAGUUGGAUCUCGGGUACUAGCAUUCGGUACGCUUAAUUGCUGUUACUGUUUGUCUAGUCCUAAUCAAUCGGUUGGCCAUUUAUGCCCUUUAUUGGGUGUUUUUGGUAGCCGAUACGUUUACUUUGAGAAAAUUAGAGUGCUUAAAGCAGGCUUUACGCCUGAAUAAUGUUGCAUGGAAUAAUAGAAUAGGACCUCGGUUCUAUUUUGUUGGUUUUGUAGAGCAUUGAGGUAAUGAUUAAUAGGGACAGACGGGGGCAUUCGUACUGCGGUGUUAGAGGUGAAAUUCUUGGAUCGCCGCAGGACGAACAACUGCGAAAGCAUUUGCCAAGAAUGUUUUCAUUAAUCAAGAACGAAAGUUGGAGGUUCGAAGACGAUUAGAUACCGUCCUAGUUCCAACCAUAAACGAUGCCAACUAGCGAUUAGCUGCUGUUAAUUAAACGACACAGCUAGCAGCUUCCGGGAAACCAAAGUUUUUGGGUUCCGGGGGAAGUAUGGUUGCAAAGCUGAAGCUUAAAGGAAUUGACGGAAGGGCACCACCAGGAGUGGAGCCUGCGGCUUAAUUUGACCCAACACGGGAAAUCUCACCCGGCCCGGACACUGUAAGGAUUGACAGAGUGAGAGCUCUUUCUUGAUUCGGUGGGUGGUGGUGCAUGGCCGUUCUUAGUUGGUGGAGCGAUUUGUCUGGUUAAUUCCGAUAACGAUCGAGACUCUAGCCUGCUAAAUAGUACGCCGAUCUUUAGUCGGCGCGUACUUCUUAGAGGGACAAGUAGCGGUUAGCUACACGAAAUUGAGCAAUAACGGGUCUGUGAUGCCCUUAGAUGUUCGGGGCCGCACGCGCGCUACACUGAAGGGAUAAGCGUGUUCUUCCUGCUCCGAAAGGAGUGGGUAACCCGCUGAAACCCCUUCGUGAUUGGGAUCGGGGCUUGCAAUUAUUCUCCGUGAACGAGGAAUUCCCAGUAAGCGCGAGUCAUAAGCUCGCGUUGAUUACGUCCCUGCCCUUUGUACACACCGCCCGUCGCUACUACCGAUUGAAUGGUUUAGUGAGAUCCUCGGAUUUGUCCGGAAGUGGCCGCAAGGUUGCCUCUAGGUUCGGAGAAGACGAUCAAACUUGAUCAUUUAGAGGAAGUAAAAGUCGUAACAAGGUU
rnacentral:rRNA from 1 species